UAAAACCAUUUCAAUCCAUAACUUUUCCUUGUAGAGUCAUUCCAAGUUAAAUCGUAGACGCAUCACAAAAUGCGUGCUUCGCUUUACUCUUUUUUUGUAUAUUACUUAUCCUUAAAUAUUCCGAUCUACAGCACCUUCAUUGCUCUCCAAUUUACUAAUUUGUUCUUCAUCAUCAUCUUCUUCGUCUGAAGAAGAUGAAAGUGGUUCAAGCAAGUCCAAAUCUUCAAGUUGGAGUCGACUUCGCAAUGGGGGCAGGGAAAUAUCGCAAACUACUUCGGCAUUUAGCAAAUCAUCAACAACCUCAUCCAGAUAUGUUAAUCGGAUCUCAGAAUUAGUACGAAUUCUUAAUUUCCGAUAAUCUCUUAACAGCGGUUCCAACGUUUGAUGCACUUCCACAUCAUCCCAUGUAAGCCGAACGUAAAAUGCAGCCAGGGCACGUAAAUACUUGAAUUCAGGAAUAGAUAGGUACUGUUGAAUUAUUUCUUUUUCAGGUGCAAUUUGUAAAAGCUUGUAUAACAAACAGAUAAACUCGGUGGGCCGUUGAUUUCCAUACUGACCACCUAUAUAUUCAAGCCGUACUGCACGAUCCACCAAUGAACAAGCUAAGAUGUAUUAGUCAGUGAAUUUGGAAUAACAGUUUGAGGACUGAUUAAAACAGCAAGUACCUAUACUUGGUUUCUUUGCUUGCCAAAUCAAGUUCAUUUAGGCUAUAUCACUCAAAAUAUCGAUUUGGAAAGUAAUCGUACUUGAACUCUAAUAUGUAAAAACACUUUCCUUUUCUGUCAAUGAAGAACACAUACCAUUCAAUCCAAAACAUUGUUCUUUCCAGUAAAUAGAAUCUACUAUGCGUUCUCUCAAGAUUUUUCCUAUAAGGAAAGUCGGCAGCAUUUCAUGCGCCGCCUCACCUUGAGAGCGAUAAUCUCUAGCAAGAAAAUCAGCCAUAGUACCUCAUGAAGAGAAUGAUUGCUCCAACCUUGAUGUCUUGACUUGGAGUAAGCUUUUAAGGAGCAGUAGUGUACUGACAAUAUAAGUGGUCAAGUCUGAAGAAGCAUGCUGAGUUUUGAUUGAGAAAGGGUUAUCUAAAAAAAACAUGGAUUCGUGAAAUAUGGAGGAAAAGGGAAAAUGCCCGUACUCAUUGCAAUGAAAGAAGAAAAAGUUGAUCUACUAAACAAUGCACACUGUGUACACAAAGCACAUGAAAUUCAAGCGAUUAUGUUGUUUUAAGCUACUCAUCGAGAUUUGCCAAACGAUAUAUAUUAAAUUCAAAUAAACGCACGGACAUAUUAUUUAUUCAUUCAUUGUCAUGUGGAAUCGGAAAUUUUUUUUUUGUAAAUUUAUAUACCUAAGAACACAUUAACCAAUUAAGGAAGAUGAAUAAAAGGAUAAAAAGAAAAAUCUUAACAAUAUACAGUAUGCUUGAAAAACACU